rnacentral:rRNA from 1 species
AUUGAACGCUGGCGGCAGGCCUAACACAUGCAAGUCGAACGAGUGGCGGACGGGUGAGUAAUGUCUGGGAAACUGCCUGAUGGAGGGGGAUAACUACUGGAAACGGUAGCUAAUACCGCAUACCAUCAGAUGUGCCCAGAUGGGAUUAGCUAGUUGGUGGGGUAACGGCUCACCAAGGCGACGAUCCCUAGCUGGUUUGAGAGGAUGACCAUCAACACUGGAACUGGGACACGGUCCAGAUUCCUAAGGGAGGGAGCAGUGGGGAAAAUUGGACAGUGGGCGCAAGCCUGAUGCAGCCAUGCCGCGUGUAUUAAGAAGGCCUUCGGGUUGUAAAGUACUUUCAGCGGGGAGGCGUUACUCGCAGAAGAAGCACCGGCUAACUCCGUGCCAGCAGCCGCGGUAAUAC